rnacentral:rRNA from 1 species
AUACGGAGGGGGUUAGCGUUGUUCGGAAUUACUGGGCGUAAAGCGCACGUAGGCGGACUGGAAAGUUGGGGGUGAAAUCCCGGGGCUCAACCCCGGAACUGCCUCCAAAACUUCCAAUCUAGAGAUCGAGAGAGGUGAGUGGAAUUCCAAGUGUAGAGGUGAAAUUCGUAGAUAUUUGGAGGAACACCAGUGGCGAAGGCGGCUCACUGGCUCGAUACUGACGCUGAGGUGCGAAAGCGUGGGGAGCAAACAGGAUUAGAUACCCCGGUAGUCC